rnacentral:rRNA from 1 species
UACGUAGGGUGCAAGCGUUGUUCGGAUUUACUGGGCGUAAAGAGCUCGUAGGCGGUUUGUCGAGUCUGCUGUGAAAACUGGAGGCUCAACCUACAGCCUGCAGUGGGUACGGGCAGACUAGAGUGCGGUAGGGGAGAUUGGAAUUCCUGGUGUAGCGGUGGAAUGCGCAGAUAUCAGGAGGAACACCGAUGGCGAAGGCAGAUCUCUGGGCCGUAACUGACGCUGAGGAGCGAAAGCAUGGGGAGCGAACAGG